rnacentral:rRNA from 1 species
AUUGAACGCUGGCGGCAGGCCUAACACAUGCAAGUCGGGCGGAGCGGCGGACGGGUGAGUAAUGUAUGUGGAUCUGCCUGCUGGAUGGGGAUAACUACUGGAAACGGUAGCUAAUACCGCAUACUAUCCUAUCAUCCUAGGUCGGAUUAGCUAGUUGGUGGGGUAAAGGCAUACCAAGGCGACGAUCCUUAACUGGUCUGAGAGGAUGAUCAGUCACACUGGAACUGAGACACGGUCCAGACUCCUACGGGAGGCAGCAGUGGGGAAUAUUGGACAAUGGGCGAAAGCCUGAUCCAGCCAUGCCGCGUGUGUGAAGAAGGUCUUCGGAUUGUAAAGCACUUUAAGUUGGGAGGCGUUACCAACAGAAUAAGCACCGGCUAACUUCGUGCCAGCAGCCGCGGUAAUUC